rnacentral:rRNA from 1 species
AUAUAACUAAGCGGAGGAAAAGAAACUAACAAGGAUUCCCUCAGUAACGGCGAGUGAAGCGGGAAGAGCUCAGACUGAAAACCUUCGGGGAUGUAGUCUGGAGAUGGGACAUCGAAUCGCAGGAAGUCGAUAAAGUGGUCUGGAAUGACACGCCGUGGAGGGUGACAGCCCCGUUCGUAUCGAUGAAAUGUGAGAGUAGAUGCCUGUCAAUGAGUCGAGUUGUUUGGGAAUGCAGCUCAAAAUGGGUGGUGAACUCCAUCUAAAGCUAAAUAUUGGCGAGAGACCGAUAGCGCACAAGUA